GGCGUGGGGCGGGCUAGCAAAGUGACAUGGCAGGCUCUCAAUGGCUAUGUGUCAACUCAUGCCCCAAACCCCAGCUCCCAACUCAAGCCCCACCAUACCCCACAGUCUAAGAUCACUUCAUCCUCCUCUGAGAUAGUUGGCAAAAAGUUAGAACCUAGAGAAAAGGCGUUUAACUUUUGGUGUUGUUUCUGAGCGUUUGGAUCGUGAACCUACCACUGCAGAUGUGUUACUUGCUGCUGCUGAUAUCGUAUUUUCUGGAUCAGAAGAGGCUUCCGCACCUGUACCUGGAAGCAGCGUUACACCAAUCACCCUGCGGAAAUCUGCAAGAUCUAGAAAUUAAGAAAAGGACGCAAUGCUAGAAAUCUACUGUUUGUUUUGGUGGUGUAGUGUAGA